GCACAAGCGGUGGAGCAUGUGGUUUAAUUCGAUGCAACGCGAAGAACCUUACCUACUCUUGACAUCCAGAGAACUUAGCAGAGAUGCUUUGGUGCCUUCGGGAACUCUGAGACAGGUGCUGCAUGGCUGUCGUCAGCUCGUGUUGUGAAAUGUUGGGUUAAGUCCCGCAACGAGCGCAACCCUUAUCCUUUGUUGCCAGCGGUUAGGUCGGGAACUCAAAGGAGACUGCCAGUGAUAAACUGGAGGAAGGUGGGGAUGACGUCAAGUCAUCAUGGCCCUUACGAGUAGGGCUACACACGUGCUACAAUGGCAUAUACAAAGAGAAGCGACCUCGCGAGAGCAAGCGGACCUCAUAAAGUAUGUCGUAGUCCGGAUUGGAGUCUGCAACUCGACUCCAUGAAGUCGGAAUCGCUAGUAAUCGUAGAUCAGAAUGCUACGGUGAAUACGUUCCCGGGCCUUGUACAC
rnacentral:rRNA from 1 species